CUUCCAGUAAAUAUAGAAGAAACACAUUGGUACUUAGCUAUUCUUAACGUAAAAAAUUGUGAGAUACAAGUACUGGACUCAUUAUGUUGGAAGUUCCAUUGAGAUGACCUCACUAAUAUGCUAAAGGAUGUCAUUUGAGCAUUCUUGAAAAAUAGGAAGAGUUGAUUGACCAUAAUUGGAAAAACCUGCAAGUUACUGAAUGGACGAUCAUAGAACAAUUGGAAGAACCAACCCAGAAAGACGGCUCAUCUUGUGGUCUAUUUAUGGUCAAGUUUACCUGGACUGGAGAGACACUAUCUCAUGCUAUUACACAGGUAUAUUUUAUAUAGUUUAUGUCAUACUAAUUUUUAUACUUACCCACAUUCAUUGCUACUUUACAGGAAGAUAUUAGUCAAUUUAGACAGAAGUUAGCCGGUAUACUAUUAUGUUGAAAAAUAAACAUAGCAGAAAUGACUACCAAGUCUCUACAAAAUCAUGGCACUGAGAAAAAUUCAAAUGAUGUUGUGAUAUUGGAAAGUCAAGAUGAUAGAAUGAAAUCCAAAGAUUUAGAAUCAUUAUUUGUUCAUGAAAUGAAAUCCAAAGAAUUAGAGCCAUUAUCAGAUCAAAAUAAAUACCAGUCACUAAUGUCCAUUCUUUCUACAAUGAGUGUGCAUGAGUUACUUGGUGGCCUUUGCGACUACAUCAAAUCAAUUAAUUGUGCAGAAACAUUGAAGAAUGUAUGGAUCCAAAACUCCAAGCCAUAUUCCAUUACCUUGACUAUCAAAAAGCUGCAGGAAAUGCUAAAUGAGGAUGUGCCCAUGGACCGUGAUUGUUUAAAUUUGGUCAUACGAAAGAUUAUGUUCGACAACAUUGAAAUAGUGAAGAAGACCAAAGGUAUCAAAGCAUUGUCUAGACAUGCAAUUUUAGGUUACUAUAGAUUUUUGGAUGACACCUGAACUACCGUAAAAACUUGGAUGUGGAACGGCUAGCGGAGACUGUUCGUAGCUAGCCUGGUAUUACAUAUAGUGCUUCAAGAUGCAAAACAAUUCUUAUGCUAAUAGAAUUCAAUGGUGGCUUCAUUCUGAUUGUACUCAAUAAAGACACCAGGACAGUAUACAUUUUGGAUCCAACUCCUCUUAACCCCAUUUACCAAUACAAUCCAAAUGCAAGAUAUGUGAAGAAACUUUUAUGGAUAGCUGAAUACUUACCAAAAGCUAUGUCAAAAACAUGCCCUGGGUCUACAUGGAAUGAGGAUAUUUUCCUGUGGCGUCAAAUAAUCAUACCUGAUGUUCCAAUUUAUGAUAGGGAACUAUCCUGUUAUCUUGUUUCCCUCUUCAUGUCCGCAUGGAAAGAUGAAGAACUACAAUUGCUAGUUUUAAAGGAUGGGUGCGAGCUCAGAAAGCGAAUUUUGGGACAACUACUAACAUACAAAGAUAAUGAAUGUAAAUACAAUAUGCCCUCCGGUGUCCUGGACUUUAUAAGUUGUAUCAGCAAUACUCAAAAGUGAAAAGAAAGAGGGUGAUGUCAAUAUGAGUGAAUCAAAAGAAGCUUAAAACAUUCAAAUGAUGAAGAUAAAUUGUAUCAAAUCGUAGUCCGUAUUAUACUUAUGUGAUUAGUACAAUUUAUUUGAG